GGGCGACUAGCUCAAUGGUAGAGCGAACGCCUUAUACACGUUUGGUUCCAGGUUCGAGCCCUGGGUCGCCCACCU
rnacentral:tRNA from 3 species